rnacentral:rRNA from 1 species
GACGAACGCUGGCGGCGUGCUUAACACAUGCAAGUCGAACGGAAAGGCCCUGCUUGUGUGGGGUGCUCGAGUGGCGAACGGGUGAGUAACACGUGAGUAACCUGCCCUUGACUUUGGGAUAACUUCAGGAAACGGGGGCUAAUACCGGAUAGGAUAUCCUGCUGCAUGGUGGGGGUGGGAAAGUUGCGGCUGGUGGGGAUGGACGCGCGGCUUAUCAGCUUGCUGGUGGGGUAGUGGCUUACCAAGGCUUAGACGGGUAGCCGGCCUGAGAGGGUGACCGGCCACAUUGCGACUGCGAUACGGCCCAGUCUCCUACGUGAGGCAGCAGUCGGGAAUAUUGCACAGUGGGCGCAAGUCUGAUGCAGCAACGCCGCGUGCGGGAUGACGGCCUUCGGGUUGUAAACCGCUUUCGCCUGUGACGAAGCGUGAGUGACGGUAAUGAGUAAAGAAGCACCGGCUAACUACGUG